GUCCGCAGACCCUCGGUGUUUCCGUUCUCCGCUCCGUCCCCGGAACCCUAAGCCGGAGCAUCUUCCUGGUCGCCGUUGUCUUAUAGGCUUCCUAUUUCACGGUCCUCCGCAGGCCCUCGGUCCUUCGGUUUUCCGUCCCGUCCCCGGAACCCUAAGCCGGUGCAUCUUCCUGGCCACCGUUGUCUUAUAGGCUUCCUAUUUCAGCUUCCAUACCUGACUAUACAGGCCGAAACGCCGCCUCUUCUUCGUCGUCGAGCUUGUAUAUCCGCGUAAGUGUUCAGAUUCCUUCUCCUGACGUCGUUGAAUCUCGAUCUGGUUUGAGAAGGAAAAGGGUGCAGUGCGCUGACCAGCGAGAUGGCGGGCAUUGAGAAGGUUGAGCAAUAAACUCCUUGCCUGCUCUUUCACAUUUUUAUGUGGAAUGGGGCAAGAUGGUCUGGCCCUAACCAAGGUUGGUUGGUGAGGAUUCGCAUUGGAACAUCAACUGACAUUCCUGAAUGCAAUCUCAGUUUACAGCGUGGACUAAUCUAGAAUAUUUGUAAGGGAAUGAAUUGGAGCUGUAAAUUUGAUUCCAUCCAUUUAUGGAGAUCUGAUCAAUCCUGUCCAUUCAUUUAGAUUUGAUUGGUUUGGGAUGAUCUAGUCGGAUGGUCUAGAUCUGAUCUUAAUCGUUCAGAUAUGAGAAGCGACAGUGAGAAGACAACACUGUGGACGAAGCACACUGAAGCAGGAUCGCGAGUUUGAAGAAGGCGUACGAGACGCCCGCAUGUCGAUUCAUUGAUACCGGAGAGUAAGCGUGGCAGAACUACUGUGUCAAAGAUCCUACAGUGGGAUCAAUUUAUUUGUUCGGUCUCGUCGAUUCUUAGAAUUAUUUUUUUCUUAUUUAUAAUUUCUUUCACAUAUCAAUUGUAUACAGAUAACUGAGUUACAUGAGAUGGUUGCACGUUCGCAAGAGUUGCAUGAGUCGGCUGCACAUUCGCAAAAGUUGCACGAAUCACAUCUGCAAGAGUUGGACAAAACAGAUAUUUGCUUAGUAUAUGUUUUUAAAAGGUUAUAAAUUGUUGUCAUGUUAUGCAUAUUGACAUAAUUUUGAAUGAUGCAUAAAGAUUAAUUUUGCUAGUCAUUAUUCAUAUGUUGCUUUAUAAUUCAAAACUUUAGUUUUUUCUUUUGUAUAUUAUAUUAAGAAUAAAAUUUCUUGCUUUUAUAUUGAAAAUUGCAUCUAUCGUCUAAUCCAGUUACAAAUUUAGUGGUUGUUCUUUACAUGCUGAUUGGAUCUUUUGUUACUAGAGCCAUAUUUUGUAAGGUAUGUUUCUUCCUAUUAUUUAUUAAUUUCAAUUGUGAGAAUUCUUUUUUUUUUGGCUAAAGUAAUCUCUCAUUCUCUUUUUGUUGUUGUAUAGUUUAUGUGACUUUCUAGUAUACCUAUAAUUCGUUUUUAUGUUUUUGAUAAUAUAUUGCAUUCAUCCACUACUGCAAGUCAUUGAUCGACUACAAGUCCAAUCAGUUAACUGACGUCCAAAAACAUCUUGAUGAUGCCCUUGCCUCUCUGAAUGUGAGUAUCAAUUUUUUAUUUUCACAUUUUGUUCAAUUUACAUGUAUUUAAAGAAAAUAACAUAGCCAAAUUUUUACUUUGUUUGGAGCUUGUGGUGACUCCUACUUCAAGGCUCGUGCUUGAGAGUGUUUUCGUUGGGCAAUCCACUAAUAACUUGCCUAACUCAAGUCUAAUGACCCAAAUCCAACAUCCAGUCAACCUUGACUGGUUGAGACUCCUUACUUAGCAUCUAGUCAACCUUGACCUACUGGGACUUCUUGCUUAGCAUCUAAUUGACUAGAUGCUAAGCAAUGAAUCUCAACGAGUCAAAGUUGACUAGAUGUUGGAUUUGGAUCAUUAAACUUGAGUUAGGCAAGUUAUUAAUGGAUUGCCCAACGAAAACACUCUAAAGCACGGGCCUUAAAGUAGGAGUCACCACAAGCUCCGAACCAAGUAAAAAUUUGACUAUGUUAUUUUCUUUAAAUACAUGUAAAUUGAACAAAAUGUGAAAAUAAAAAAACUGAUACUCACAUUCAGAGAAGCAAACGCAUCAUCAAGAUGCUUUUGGACGUCAGUUAACUGAUUGAACUUGUAGUCGAUCAAUGACUUGCAGUAGUGGAUGAAUGGAAUACAUUAUCAAAAACAUAAAAACGAAUUAUAGGUAUACUAGAAGGUCACAUAAACUAUACAACAACAAGAAGAGAAUGAGAGAUUACUUUAGCCAAAAAAGAGAAUUCUCACAAUUGAAAUUAACAAAUAAUAAAAAGAAGCAUACCUUACAAAAUAUGGCUCUAGUAACAAAAGAUACAAUCAACAUGUAAAGAACAACUACUAAAUUUGUAACGAAUAGACAAUAGAUGUAAUUUUCAAUAUAAAAGCAAGAAAUUUUAUUCUUAAUAUAAUAUACAAAAGAAAAAAUUAAAAUUUUGAAUUAUAAAGCAACACGAGAAUAAUGAUUAGCAAAAUUAAUUUUUAUGCAUCAUUCAAAAUUAUGUCAAUAUGCAUAACAUGACAACAAUCUAUAGCCUUUUGAAAACAUAUACUAAGUAAAUACCUGUUUUGUCCAGCUUUUGCAGAUGUGAGUCGUGCAACUCUUGCGAAUGUACAGCCGACUCUUGCGAAUGUGUAACCAUCUCAUGUAACUCAGUUAUUUGUAUACAAUUGAUUUGUGAGAGAAAUUCUAAAUAAGAAAAAAUAAUUCUAAGAAUCGACGAGACCAAAUAAAUAAAUUGACCCAAAGUUAUGUGUGUCUACUUGAACACAAGCAAAUGACAAUCAAUUUAUGUGUAUCUAAUUUGGUAAUUAUCUGAUUGUGUUUUCUUAUUUA